GUCUUUGUAGUACACUGAAUACACUGGUCUUGUAAGCCAGAGAAGGAGAGCAACACCUCCCUAAGACU
rnacentral:tRNA from 1 species